UAAAUGACCUAAGGCAUAUGAUGGAUACCUAGGCACCUAGAGACGAUGAAGAGCGCAGAAACCGGCGAUACGCUUUGGGGAGCUGGCAGCAAGCUUUGAUCCAAAGAUUCUCGAAUAGGGCAACCUUUAGAACUUCCUAUACAAUUCAUAUUUAGGAAAGAGACAACCCAGUGAACUGAAACAUCUAAGUAGCUGGUGGAAAAGAAAGCAAACGCGAUUCCCUUAGUAGCGGCGAGCGAAAUGGGAACAGCCUAAACCCCUAAAAAGGUGUAGUGGGAAGACACUUCAUAAAAAAAUAGCUAUAAAACGAAGCAGCUGAAACCUGCACCAUAGAUGGUAAAAGUCCAGUAGUUGUAUACAGCUAUGUUUUUAGUCUUAUCCCGAGUAGCAUGGGACACGUGUAAUCCAGUGUGAAUCUGCGAGGACCACCUCGUAAGGCUAAAUACUCCUAGGUGACCGAUAGCGAAAUAGUACAGUGAUGGAACGGUGAAAAAGAACCCACGACAGGGAGUGAAAUAGAACAUGAAAUCGUAUGCUAACAAGCAGUGGGAGGGUUAGAACCUGACCGCGUGCCUGUUGAAGAAUGAGUCAGCGACUUAUAGGAAGUGGCAUUAAGGUUAAAGAGUUAAAUUUGGAGCCUAAGCGAAAGCAAGUCUGAAUAGGGCAUCUAGUCACUUCUUAUAGACCCGAACCCGGUUGAUCUAAUUAUGGCCAAGAUGAAGCUUGGGUAACACCAAUUGGAGGUCUGAACCCACCAAUGUUGAAAAAUUGGGGGAUGAGCUGUAAUUAGCGGAGAAAUUCCAAUCGAAAUCGGAGCUAGCUGGUUCUCCCCGAAAUGCGUUGAGGCGCAGCGGUUGUGUUAACUAUCUUGGGGUAAAGCACUGUUUCGGCGCGGGCUGUGAAAGCGGUACCAAGUCGUGGCAAACUCAGAAUACAAGAUAUGUAUGAAACAUAAGCCAGUGAGACAGUGGGGGAUAAGCUCCAUUGUCAAGAGGGAAACAGCCCAGAUCACCAGCUAAGGUCCCAAAAUGAUUAACUAAGUGGAAAAGGAUGUGAGAAUGCUGAGACAAUCAGGAUGUUUUCUUAGAGGCAGAGCUCGUUUAAAGAGUGCGUAAUAGCUCACUGAUAUAGCGUUCUUGCGCCGAAAAUGCUCGGGACUAAGUAAUCUACCGAAGCUGUGAUAUUUAACAUGUUAAAUAGGUAGGGGAGCGUUUAAUGGCUGGGUGAAGUAUUAAUGUGAAUUAAUAUGGACGGCAUUAAAGUGAGAAUGUUGACUUGAGUAACGAAAAUAUGGGUAAGAAUCCCAUACCCCGAAAACCCAAGGGUUCCUUCACUAGGUUCGUCCAUGGAGGGUUAGUCAGGACCUAAGGCGAGGCCAAAAGGGCGUAGUCGAUGGAAAAUAGGUUAAUAUUCCUAUACUCCUUUUAUUGGAUACCUAGGGACGAAGGAGGCUAAACUAGAACUGUUUAUGGUAUGCAGUGGAAUUGUCUAGGCUUAAAAGAGAAUAAAAGCUCUUUUAAUUAGGCUAAGGCUUGAUACCUAUUAUCAUCUUGAGAAAUCAAGGUUUUAGUAGCUAGUGAUGUCACACUUCCAAGAAAAGCUAGAACAUCUCUUUUUGUUAAUAACAUUAUAUAUAGUUAAUAACUUUAUAGAUUGUUAAUAACAUUAUAGAUAAAACAAUAAAAGGACCUGUACCGGAAACCGACACAGGUGGGUGGGUAGAGAAUACCAAGGGGCGCGAGAAAACUCUCUCUAAGGAACUCGGCAAACUGGCCCUGUAACUUCGGGAGAAGGGGUGCCUCUUUAUUUACAAUUUUAAUACAGUUGUGAAUGGGGAGGCCGCAGUGACCAGACUCCGGCGACUGUUUACCAAAAACACAGGUCUCCGCAAAGUCGUAAGACAAUAUAUGGGGGCUGACGCCUGCCCAGUGCCGGAAGGUUAAGGAAGUCGGUUAUCCUAGCAAUAGGAGAAGCUAACAACUGAAGCCCCGGUGAACGGCGGCUGUAACUAUAACAGUCCUAAGGUAGCGAAACUCCUUGUCAAGUAAGUUUUGACCUGCACGAAUGGCGUAACGAUCGGAGUACUGUCUCGGAGAGAGACUCGGUGAAAUAGACUUGUCCGUGAAGAUGCGGACUACUUACACCUGGACAGAAAGACCCUAUGAAGCUUGACUGUAUCUUGGUAUUGGGUUCGGGCUUUUCUUGCGCAGCCUAGGUGGGAGACUUUGAAGUGUGCGUUUUGGCGCACAUGGAGUCAUCAUUGAGAGACCACUCUGGGAAGGCUAGAAUUCUAAUGGUGUUCCUUGAAUCAGGACAUUAAACAGUAUCAGGUGGACAGUUUCACUGGGGCGGUGUGCUCCUAAAGGGUAACGGAGCUGCGCAAAGGUACCCUCAGUCUGGACGGAAAUCAGACAUUGAGUGUAAAGGCAAAAGGGUACUUGACUGUAAGACAUACACGUCGAGCAGGGGUUAACGCCGGCCUUAGUGAUCCGACGGUACCGCGUGGAAGGGCCGUCGCUUAUCGGAUAAAAGCUACUCUAGGGAUAACAGGCUGAUCUUCUCCAAGAGUCCAUAUCGACGAGAAGGUUUGGCACCUUCGAUGUCGGCUCAUCACAUCCUUGGGCUGCAGUAGGUCCAAAGGGUCGGGCUGUUCGCCCGUUAAUGUGGUACGCGAGCUGGGUUCAGAACGUCGUGAGACAGUUCGGUCCAUAUCCGGUGUAAGCGUUGGAAUAUUGAGGGGAUGCCUCUUUAGUACGAGAGGACCGAGGGACACAGACCAAUGGUAUAUCAGUUGUUACACCAGUAGCAAACGCUGAGUAGCUAUGUCUGGAGUGGAUAACUGCUGACAGCAUCUAAGUAGGAAGCCCACCCCAAGAUUAGUAUUCCCUUUUUUAGGACGCCAGAAGACUACUGGCUUGAUAGGAUCUAAGUGUAAGCAUAGUAAUGUGUUUAGCUGAGGAUUACUAACGUCCGAUUGAUUUUAACC
rnacentral:rRNA from 1 species